AGGGACCACGAAAAAUAAGACAUCUGAGUUACAAAAGCAAUAGGCAACGAACUUAAAGGAAUAUUUUCCAUCUGUGGAUAUAUCUGCACACACUUGCUGGAGCCGAUGGAAAACUUCAAAGAACUUCUAAGAAACAAUGGUUUUCAGAGAGCCUUGCAAAGUCAGAGCUCUAGUUUCUCCUAUGUCUGCAGUUUCUCAAAAUAGUUUUAUGCCAAAGAGACAUAUUUGGGGGCAGCGUAUUCUGCUACUCUUCACACUUAAUGUAUACUAAGAAUUGGGCUAAGCGGUUUACAUCGAUUCCCUCAUUUAAUUUUCACAAAAACUCUAUGAGAUAAGCAUUGUGACUCUCCCAUUUUAUAGAAGGGACUCAGAGAGGUAAGUAACUUGCCAGAAGUCACACAGCCAGCACCCUGUGGAGUUGUUAUGGGGAUUAAAUGAGAUAAUGUAUGUAACCAAGCGCUUAGAAUAGAGCCUUGUGUUGUCCCCAGAUUGUUGAUGAAUAUUAGUAGGAUUCUUUAUCUCACUCACUUAGGAGAGACCAUUCUGAUUUAGUCAAUGUGAAAAGAGAUCUUCACCAUCUAGAACAGCCACACUAGUUACCAGCUUAGCAGGAAGAUUUUUAAAUCAGCUGCCUAUGAAAAAUAUACAGAUUCAUCAAAUAUUCAUCAUAUUAAUUCUCAGAUCAUCUUCUAUAUAUGCUUUCAUAUAUAUAUAUAUAUAUGUUUCAUGUACAUAUGUUUCAGUGUUCACAGAACCUAUUUUUCACUGUAUAUGCAAAUUCUAUGUUUGUAAGUGAAAAUGUUAAUACAUUAAAUGAUUAACCCUUAAACAAAAGGUUUUCUAAAGGAUUU